AGUCUUCUGAGUCCGUGCCAAGAUUUUGUCAGACACCAAACUAUCAGUACUGAUGAGAAUUUCAAAAUAAGUGAAGUA
rnacentral:pre_miRNA from 1 species